UUUGAGGGUGGAGGAACACUCUGAGGGCCUGCAGGUGGCCCUGGGAACCAAACCUGGAGGAACCCAAGUUUAUAAAUACAAUCCUUCUCUUAGAGGGUGGGGGCUUUCAGCAGACUGAUCUAAACACUGACUUCUCAGUCCACUCCCUCCAGUCAAGGUUAAGGUCUGGCAAAGGUGGGGGGAGAGAAGCUGAGGAGAAAAAGGCUGAGGAGAGUCCAGGCACAGGAAGGUGACCUAGAGUAGAGUUGGGUGGCACAGGGAUGCGGCUGAGAUCCCCUCUUCUUCUGGAGUUCUCUUCUUAGACUAUAAGGUUGGUAUAGGAACUCUAAAUGUUCCUCAAGCUGCCGGCCACGGCUACCACCUGUGCUUUGUCACACUGGCCUUGAUUUGGCUAUCACUGGCUUUUGUCUUAUUUUAUCUGCUCUGGCUGAAACCCAAAUGAUUCUGUCCCCAGGUCCAUAAGAGCAAUCAGAGGUCCCUGGAGUCCCUGGUCUGCUCCCCAGAGUCACAGCUGCUAGUUGUUCUGUGCUCCACACAGAGCUCCCUCCCUCUCAAUGCUGACUUCCUGUGGAACAGAUUCCAGCACAGUAGAGGACCAGGGCUCAGAGAACAGACCCAGCAGCACAGGAAGUCUCCAAGGGAAGCUCUACCAGUUUCCAGGAGCUGAAGGCAGGACUGGAGAGAGGCUAGCCAGACUGCAGAAGUCAGAUGCUACCAGACUGCUUUCUCGCACUUAUGCAUCUGUCUUUGUGACCAAGUUUCC
rnacentral:lncRNA from 1 species